AGGUCUUGGGAUAUUUAGGGUUAAACAUCCUUAGGUUUGAAUAGUAUUGGGCUGGGUGACCUCUCGGGAAAUUCAAAUUCAGGAGUUU
rnacentral:rRNA from 1 species